rnacentral:rRNA from 1 species
UACAGAGGGUGCAAGCGUUAAUCGGAAUUACUGGGCGUAAAGCGCGCGUAGGUGGUUUGUUAAGUUGGAUGUGAAAUCCCCGGGCUCAACCUGGGAACUGCAUUCAAAACUGACAAGCUAGAGUAUGGUAGAGGGUGGUGGAAUUUCCUGUGUAGCGGUGAAAUGCGUAGAUAUAGGAAGGAACACCAGUGGCGAAGGCGACCACCUGGACUGAUACUGACACUGAGGUGCGAAAGCGUGGGGAGCGAACAGGA